rnacentral:rRNA from 1 species
AUUGAACGCUGGCGGCAGGCUUAACACAUGCAAGUCGAGCGGAGAGAGGUAGCUUGCUACUGAUCUUAGCGGCGGACGGGUGAGUAAUGCUUAGGAAUCUGCCUAUUAGUGGGGGACAACAUUUCGCAAGGAAUGCUAAUACCGCAUACGUCCUACGGGAGAAAGCAGGGGAUCGUCGGACCUGGCGCUAAUCGGUGAGCCUAAGUCGGAUGAGCUAGUUGGUGGGGUAAAGGCCUACCAAGGCGACGAUCUGUAGCGGGUCUGAGAGGAUGAUCCGCCACACUGGGACUGAGACACGGCCCAGACUCCUACGGGAGGCAGCAGUGGGGAAUAGUGGACAAUGGGCGGAAGCCUGAUCCAGCCAUGCCGCGUGUGUGAAGAAGGCCUUAUGGUUGUAAAGCACUUUAAGCGAGGAGGAGGCUACUUUAGUUAAUACCUAGAGAUAGUGGACGUUACUCGCAGAAUAAGCACCGGCUAACUCUGUGCCAGCAGCCGCGGUAACAC